GCUGAGAGGCGAGGGUGCCUUCGGAGCCAGAACACAGGUGCUGCAUGGCUGUCGUCAGCUCGUGUCGUGAGAUGUUGGGUUAAGUCCCGCAACGAGCGCAACCCUUGUCAUUAGUUGCCAUCAUUUAGUUGGGCACUCUAAUGAGACUGCCGGUGACAAACCGGAGGAAGGUGGGGAUGACGUCAAGUCCUCAUGGCCCUUAUGGGUAGGGCUUCACACGUCAUACAAUGGUCGGUACAGAGGGUUGCCAAGCCGCGAGGUGGAGCCAAUCCCUUAAAGCCGAUCGUAGUCCGGAUCGUAGUCUGCAACUCGACUGCGUGAAGUCGGAAUCGCUAGUAAUCGUGGAUCAGCAUGUCACGGUGAAUACGUUCCCGGGUCUU
rnacentral:rRNA from 1 species